rnacentral:rRNA from 1 species
AUUGAACGCUGGCGGCAUGCCUUACACAUGCAAGUCGAACGGCAGCACGGGAGCAAUCCUGGUGGCGAGUGGCGAGCGGGUGAGUAAUAUAUCGGAACGUGCCCAGUCGUGGGGGAUAACGCAGCGAAAGCUGUGCUAAUACCGCAUACGAUCUAAGGAUGAAAGCGGGGGAUCGCAAGACCUCGCGCGAUUGGAGCGGCCGAUAUCAGAUUAGCUAGUUGGUGGGGUAAAGGCCCACCAAGGCGACGAUCUGUAGCUGGUCUGAGAGGACGACCCGCCACACUGGAACUGAGACACGGUCCAGACUCCUACGGGAGGCAGCAGUGGGGAAUUUUGGACAAUGGGCGCAAGCCUGAUCCAGCAAUGCCGCGUGCAGGAUGAAGGCCUUCGGGUUGUAAACUGCUUUUGUACGGAACGAAACGGCCCUUUCUAAUACAAGGGGCUAAUGACGGUACCGUAAGAAUAAGCACCGGCUAACUACGUGCCAGCAGCCGCCGUAAAAC